GUGCCAGCCGCCGCGGUAAUACGUAGGUGGCAAGCGUUGUCCGGAUUUAUUGGGCGUAAAGCGAGCGCAGGCGGUUUUUUAAGUCUGAUGUGAAAGCCUUCGGCUCAACCGAAGAAGUGCAUCGGAAACUGGGAAACUUGAGUGCAGAAGAGGACAGUGGAACUCCAUGUGUAGCGGUGAAAUGCGUAGAUAUAUGGAAGAACACCAGUGGCGAAGGCGGCUGUCUGGUCUGUAACUGACGCUGAGGCUCGAAAGUAUGGGUAGCAAACAGGAUUAGAUACCCUGGUAGUCCAUACCGUAAACGAUGAAUGCUAAGUGUUGGAGGGUUUCCGCCCUUCAGUGCUGCAGCUAACGCAUUAAGCAUUCCGCCUGGGGAGUACGGCCGCAAGGCUGAAACUCAAAGGAAUUGACGGGGGCCCGCACAAGCGGUGGAGCAUGUGGUUUAAUUCGAAGCUACGCGAAGAACCUUACCAGGUCUUGACAUACUAUGCAAAUCUAAGAGAUUAGACGUUCCCUUCGGGGACAUGGAUACAGGUGGUGCAUGGUUGUCGUCAGCUCGUGUCGUGAGAUGUUGGGUUAAGUCCCGCAACGAGCGCAACCCUUAUUAUCAGUUGCCAGCAUUAAGUUGGGCACUCUGGUGAGACUGCCGGUGACAAACCAGAGGAAGGUGGGGAUGACGUCAAAUCAUCAUGCCCCUUAUGACCUGGGCUACACACGUGCUACAAUGGAUGGUACAACGAGUUGCGAACUCGCGAGAGUAAGCUAAUCUCUUAAAGCCAUUCUCAGUUCGGAUUGUAGGCUGCAACUCGCCUACAUGAAGUCGGAAUCGCUAGUAAUCGCGGAUCAGCAUGCCGCGGUGAAUACGUUCCCGGGCCUUGUACACACCGCCCGU
rnacentral:rRNA from 1 species